ensembl:lncRNA
AGUAUUAUUUUCAAUUUUCAGGUCAAGAUCCAAAAGUUUGGGUGAAUAACUCCCUGUUCAGAGGUUUUAUGCUCUUAAUGUGAAGUGGAUAUGGGCAUCUGGAUUUGGAAACUGAAGACCAGGCUCUGUAUGGUGUUUCUGACUCAAGAAACAUGUGACUUGGGAGGCCUGGGUUCCAUCCCUGGAUUGAGAAGAUCUCCUAGAGAAGGGAAUAGCAACCCACUCCAGUUUUCUUGCCUGAAGAAUUCCAUGGACAGAGGCGCCUGGCAGGCUACAGUUCAUGGUGUCUCAAAGAGUCAGACGUGAAUGAGUGACUAAUACUAACUAACUUUUAGCCCUGAACAAACAUUUGUCAAAUAAAGGUUAUUC